rnacentral:rRNA from 1 species
AUUGAACGCUGGCGGCAUGCCUUACACAUGCAAGUCGAACGGCAGCACGGGAGCAAUCCUGGUGGCGAGUGGCGAACGGGUGAGUAAUGUAUCGGAACGUGCCCAGUUGUGGGGGAUAACUGCUCGAAAGAGCAGCUAAUACCGCAUACGACCUGAGGGUGAAAGCGGGGGAUCGCAAGACCUCGCGCAAUUGGAGCGGCCGAUAUCAGAUUAGGUAGUUGGUGGGGUAAAGGCCCACCAAGCCAACGAUCUGUAGCUGGUCUGAGAGGACGACCAGCCACACUGGGACUGAGACACGGCCCAGACUCCUACGGGAGGCAGCAGUGGGGAAUUUUGGACAAUGGACGCAAGUCUGAUCCAGCCAUGCCGCGUGCGGGAAGAAGGCCUUCGGGUUGUAAACCGCUUUUGUCAGGGAAGAAACGGCUUUCUCUAAUACAGAGGGCUAAUGACGGUACCUGAAGAAUAAGCACCGGCUAACUACGUGCCAGCCGCCGCAGUAACAC